rnacentral:lncRNA from 1 species
GAAGAAUCGCUCCAUAGUUUACCUAAUAAUACAAAAGGAAAACUGUGCCUUAAUGAUGGAGAGAUAUCUGGAGGUCACCACCUUAACCUAAAAAUCAAAUAAUUAACAGUGGGAUGACCUGAUCUUUAUGCCUCUGUUAUGGACUGAAUGUUUGUGUUGGCUCCCAAAAUUCAUAUGUUGAAAUCCUAACCUCCACUGUGAUGGUAUUUGCAGGUGGCACAUUUGGAAGGUAAUUAAGUCAUGACAGUGGAGCCCUAUGAAUGGGAUUUAGUGCCCUUACAAGGGACUGAAAAGACCAGAGUUCUCCCCUUCUACCAUGUGAGAACACAGUAAGAAGACAGCCAUCUAUGAACAAGGAGGUCUUCAGAUCUAGGGGAUCUGUACUCAAGGAAUUUCACUUGAGGAGCCUUAUUCUUACCUAGACCUGAUUAACUGAUGAGAACCUGAAACUGAUGUCAAAAUAGGCUGAGAUUUCUGGAGGCCUUGUGAGAGGGAUUUUAGUUACAAGAUCAGAAGAAACCUUGAUCUUCUGCCUGGGGCAUUUUGGAAUCCAUCUACCAUGCUGUGAGAAAGCUAAGCAGCCACAUGGAGAGUAACAUGUAGAAAGGAACUGAGGUCCCCAGCU